AUGCGACUUAGGGUCGCAGAGAGGAAAACUUUGACUGUUGUGUGUGCAUGUGCACCAAACAGCAGUUCGGAGUAUUCGGCCUUCUUGGAGAAGGUAAGUGGAGUUCUGGACAGGGCCCCACCUACAGACUCCAUAGUCCUGCUGGGGGACUUCAACACUCACGUUGACAGUGACUGGAAAAUCUGGCGGGGGGUGAUUGAGAAGAAUGGCUUGUCCAAUCUAAACCCGAAUGGUGAAACGUUAUUGGACUUCUGUACUACUCAUGGUUUGUCCAUAACAAACACCAUGUUCGAACACAAGGAUGCUGAUAAGUGUACUUGGUACCAGAGCUCCUUGGGCCAAAGGUCAAUGAUCGACUUUGUAGUCGUUUCUUCUGACUUCAGACCACAUGUUUUGGACACUCGGGUGAAGAGAGGUGCUGAGCUGUCAACUGAUCACCAUCUGGUGGUGAGUUGGAUCAGAUGGCGGGGAAAACUGAUGGACAGACCCGGUAGGCCCAGACAUUUAAUGAGGGUGUGCUGGGAACGACUGUCAGAGGACCUUGUCCGGAAUGAUUUUAACUCACACCUCCGGGAGAGCUUCUCCCAUGUCCCAGAGGAGGUGGGGGACAUGAAGUCUGAAUGGACCCUGUGUAAAACCUCCAUUGUGGAAGCAGCGAGGCACAGCUGUGGCCAAAAGCUUGUUGGUGCCAGCCUGGGCGGCAACCCGAGAACCCGCUGGUGGACACCGGUGGCGAGGGAAGCCGUCAAGCUGAAGAAGGAGGCCUUUAGGGCCUGGUUGGUUCUGGGGACUCCUGACUCAGCAGACAGGUACCAGCAGGCGAAAAAGGCAGCAGCAGCUGCGGUUGCAGAAGCAAAAUCCUGGGCAUGGGAGGAGUUUGGAGAGGCCAUGGAAAAUGACUAUCGAUUGGCUUCAGAGAGGUUCUGGAGAACCAUCCGGCAGCUCAGAAGGGGUCGGAGGAGCUUCGCUCAGGCUGUGCUCAGCAAGAGUGGAGAAACGUUGACCUCUGAUGAGGACAUUGUUGGGAGGUGGAAGGAGCACUUUGAAGAACUCUUAAACCCGAGUGAUAUGCCUCCCUUACAGGAGUCAGGGCCAGAGGCUUUCGGGCUGUCAAGAGUCCAUUUCCCUGGUGGAAGUCACUGA
rnacentral:lncRNA from 1 species